rnacentral:misc_RNA from 1 species
AAGAGAUUGGCAUAGAUUUCAAAUUUAGUAAGAUUCUCGGGGAUCUUAAGGUUCCAACUUCUCAAGAUAAAGAUGGCUCUUUUGAUAUGGAAGAGGAUGAAAUAUACACUCUGGCUGGUGCACUGGAGAAUAUUGUCAAGACAUCUCAGCUCGAGAUCAUUGAGCUUCAGCACUCUGUGGAGGAAUUAAGGGCAGAAGCGAGUUUACUUAAAGAGCAUAUAGAGGCUCAAGCAAAGGAGCUGGACCAUAGAAUGCGUAGAAUAGAGGAACUUGAAGAGAAGGAGAGAGUGGCAAAUGAAAGUGUUGAAGGGCUAAUGAUGGACAUUGCUGCCGCUGAAGAAGAAAUAACAAGAUGGAAAGUAGCAGCAGAGCAAGAGGCUGCUGCUGGUCGAGCUGUUGAACAGGAAUUUGUCACUCAGCUGUCAGCACUUAAACAGGAAGUUGAAGAGACAAGGAUAGUCAUGUUAGAAUCAGAGAAAAAGCUAAAACUCAAAGAAGAGACAGCGGCUGGUGCCCUGGAGAGAGGCUGCUGAGAAGUCAUUGAGAUUAGCUGACAUGAGGGCAUCUAGACUGAGGGAUAGAGUAGAGGAGCUCAGCCAUCAGCUUGAUGAGUUUGAAACUCGAGAAGACUCGAGGGGCCGAAAUGGUCCUAGAUAAUGUAUGUUGGCCAUGGCAGUGGCUUGGACAUGACUUUGUGGGCUUGCACAAACCUGAAGCGCAACAACAGAGUUCAAAUGAAAUGGAGCUUUCUGAACCCC